rnacentral:tRNA from 3 species
ACCCAUUUCGUCUAACGGUAAGACCCUGGUCUCCAAAACCAGUAAUUGAGGUUCGAAUCCUUGGGUGGGUGCAA